GAUGAACGCUAGCGGCAGGCCUAAUACAUGCAAGACGAACGGUAAGUUUGAUAGCAAUAUUGAACCAAGAGUGUCGUAAGGGUGCGUAACACGUAUGCAAUCUGCCCGCAACAGGAGGAUAGCUCCCCGAAAGGGGAAUUAACCCUCCAUAAGAUCACGGAGUGGCAUCACGUUGUGAUUAAAUCUGAGGAGGUUGCGGAUGAGCAUGCGUCUGAUUAGCUAGUUGGUAGGGUAAUGGCCUACCAAGGCGAUGAUCAGUAGGGGAACUGAGAGGUUGAUCCCCACACUGGCACUGAGAUACGGGCCAGACUCCUACGGGAGGCAGCAGUAGGGAAUAUUGGACAAUGGGUGCAAGCCUGAUCCAGCCAUGCCGCGUGCAGGAAGACGGCCUUCUGGGUUGUAAACUGCUUUUGCCAGGGGAUAAAAUACUCUUGCGAGAGGAAUUGAAGGUACCUGGUGAAUAAGCCACGGCUAACUACGUGCCAGCCGCCGCCGUAACAC
rnacentral:rRNA from 1 species